UACGAAGGGGGCUAGCGUUGCUCGGAAUCACUGGGCGUAAAGGGUGCGUAGGCGGGUCUUUAAGUCAGGGGUGAAAUCCUGGAGCUCAACUCCAGAACUGCCUUUGAUACUGAAGAUCUUGAGUUCGGGAGAGGUGAGUGGAACUGCGAGUGUAGAGGUGAAAAUUCGUAGAUAUUCGCAAGAACACCAGUGGCGAAGGCGCUCACUGGCC
rnacentral:rRNA from 1 species